rnacentral:rRNA from 1 species
AUAUCAUUAAGCGGAGGAAAAGAAAUUAACGAAGAUUGCCCUAGUAGCGGCGAGCGAAGCGGCAAGAGUCCAAGUUUAAAAUCUGGGGUGUACCACCUCCGAAUUGUAAUCUAAAGAGCUCUGCAAAAGGGGAGGUUGAAGCAUAAGUGCCAUGGAACUGGCCGUCGU